rnacentral:rRNA from 1 species
AUUGAACGCUGGCGGCAUGCCUAACACAUGCAAGUCGAGCGGAGCGGCGGACGGGUGAGUAAUGCCUAGGAAUCUGCCUGGUAGUGGGGGAUAACGUCCGGAAAGGGGCGCUAAUACCGCAUACUAUCAGAUGAGCCUAGGUCGGAUUAGCUAGUUGGUGGGGUAAAGGCCUACCAAGGCGACGAUCCGUAACUGGCCUGAGAGGGUGAUCAGUCACACUGGAACUGAGACACGGUCCAGACUCCUACGGGAGGCAGCAGUGGGGAAUAUUGGACAAUGGGCGAAAGUCUGAGCCAGCCAUGCCGCGUGAGUGAAGAAGGUCUUCGGAUUGUAAAGCACUUUAAGUUGGGAGGCGUUACCAACAGAAUAAGCACCGGCUAACUACGUGCCAGCAGCCGCGGUAAUUC